AGUCGAUUACAUCGACCCCAGUGUGUAACUGGUACUUAUUUAAUCGACCCCGAAAGGAUGAAAAGCAAAGUCGACCUCGGCGGAAUUUGGACUCAGAACGUAAAGAGAGAUGAAAGACCAUUAAACAUUUCACAUGGCAUGCUGUUUCUGCC